UACGGGGGGAGCAAGCGUUGUUCGGAUUUACUGGGCGUAAAGGGCGCGUAGGCGGCCAGCACAAGUCAGUUGUGAAAUCUCCGAGCUUAACUCGGAAAGGUCAACUGAUACUGUGCGGCUAGAGUGCAGAAGGGGCAACUGGAAUUCUUGGUGUAGCGGUGAAAUGCGUAGAUAUCAGAGGAACACCUGCGGCGAAGGCGGGUUGCUGGGCUGACACUGACGCUGAAGCGCGAAAGCCAGGGGAGCGAACGGG
rnacentral:rRNA from 1 species